rnacentral:rRNA from 1 species
CCGCGUGAGUGAUGAAGUACUUCGGUAUGUAAAGCUCUGUCUUUGGGGACGAUAAUGACGGUACCCAAGGAGGAAGCCACGGCUAACUACGUGC